rnacentral:rRNA from 16 species
UGCCGAAUCAACUAGCCCGUGGUCAUGGAAGUCAAACUCCGCUAAGACAGCAGGACGGUGGUCAUGGAAGUCAUGGAAGUGAAACUCCGCUAAGGCGUGUCUAACAACUCACCUGCCGAAUCAACUAGCCCCGAAAAUGGAUGGCGCUGAAGCGCCCGACCCACACCCGGCCAUCUGGGCGAGCGCCAUGCCCCGAUG